AGCGAACGCUGGCGGCAGGCCUAACACAUGCAAGUCGAACGAAGUCUUCGGACUUAGUGGCGGACGGGUGAGUAACACGUGGGAACGUACCUUUUGGUUCGGAAUAACGCAGGGAAACUUGCGCUAAUACCGAAUGUGCCCUUAGGGGGAAAGAUUUAUCGCCAUUAGAGCGGCCCGCGUUGGAUUAGGUAGUUGGUGUGGUAAAGGCGCACCAAGCCUACGAUCCAUAGCUGGUCUGAGAGGAUGAUCAGCCACACUGGGACUGAGACACGGCCCAGACUCCUACGGGAGGCAGCAGUGGGGAAUCUUGCGCAAUGGUCGAAAGAUUGACGCAGCCAUGCCGCGUGAAUGAUGAAGGUCUUAGGUUCGUAAAGUUCUUUUACCAGGGACGAUAAUGACGGUACCUGGAGAAAAAGCCCCGGCUAACUUCGUGCCAGCCGCCGCAGUAAAAC
rnacentral:rRNA from 1 species